rnacentral:rRNA from 1 species
ACGGCUCAGUAACACGUAGUCAACAUAACCAAAGGACGUGGAUAAACUCGGGAAACUGAGGCUAAACCGCGAUAGACCAAGAUUCCUGGAAUGGUUUUUGAUCAAAAUCUAUAUGGCCUUUGGAUUGGACUGCGACCGAUCAGGCUGUUGGUGAGGUAAUGGCUCACCAAGCCAUUUACCGGUGCGGGCCGUGAGAGCGGGAGCCCGGAGAUGGGCACUGAGACAAGGGCCCAGGCCCUACGGGGCGCAGCAGUCGCGAAAACUUUGCAAUAAGCGAAAGCUUGACAGGGCUAUCCCGAGUGCCAUCCGCUGAGGAAGGCUUUUACCCAGUCUAGAACGCUGGGGGAAUAAGGAGAGGGCAAGUCUGGUGUCAGCCGCCGCGGUAAUACCAGCUCUCCGAGUGGUGUGGAUGUUUAUUGGGCCUAAAGCAUCCGUAGCUGGCUAAGUUAGUCCCUUGUUAAAUCCACCGAAUUAAUCGUUGGAUUGCGGGGGAUACUGCUUGGCUAGGGGACGAGAGAGGCAGACGGUAUUUCCGGGGUAGGGGUGAAAUCCUAUAAUCCCGGGAAGACCACCAGUGGCGAAGGCUGUCUGCUAGAACGCGCCCGACGGUGAGGGAUGAAAGCUGGGGGAGCGAACCGGAUUAGAUACCCGGGUAGUCCCAGCUGUAAACGAUGCAGGCUAGGUGUUUGGACGGCCACGUGCCGUUCUAGUGCCGCAGGGAAGCUGUUAAGCCUGCCGCCUGGGGGAGUACGAUCGCAAGAUUGAAACUUAAAGGAAUUGGCGGGGGAG